ACGGGGGGUGCGAGCGUUGUCCGGAUUCACUGGGCGUAAAGGGCGCGUAGGCGGCUUGAUCAGUCGGACGUAUAAGUGCGGGGCUCACCCCCGUGACGGGUCCGGGACGGUGAAGCUAGGGCGCGGCAGAGGGGUGCGGAAUGCCGGGUGUAGUGGUGAAAUGCGUAGAGAUCCGGCGGAACACCGGUGGUGAAGACGGCACCCUGGGCCGAGGCCGACGCUGAGGCGCGAGAGCGUGGGGAGCGAACCGGAUUAGAUACCCGGGUAGUCCACGCCGUAAACGGUGGGCACUAGGUGUGGCGGGUAUCGACCCCCGCCGUGCCGUCGCGAACGCAUGGAGUGCCCCGCCUGGGGAGUACGGCCGCAAGGCUA
rnacentral:rRNA from 1 species